CUUUCAGCUUCAUAAGAACCCUAGAGAACACUGCAGUCGGGGCUCUUGAGCUGCUUGCUCGAGCCUCUCCUGCUCUGUGGAGUGCAAUUUCGCUUCAGUGAAUCUGCACUUUUCGUUGUUUUUUUUUUUUGAUGCUUCGUUCUUUUAUUGCUUUGUUUGUACGUUUUGUUUAAUUCUUUGUACAAAGAGCCUAGACAGCAUACAGCCAAGAGUUUCUAUCUGGUAACAUAUUUUGGAGAGCCAGCCAGGAGGUCAAGCCUGCGACACCUGGAGCUCUGGACCUGGAACCUGAGGCUCCCACCAGCCACUGCACCCGUGAACCUGUAGAAGACAUGCGGUACCUGUUUAAAAGACAGACAAAAGAUAAGUAAAUGCCCACCAACACUCCCUGGUGCCUUUGUUGCAUAGUUACUGUAAGCUGGAUACUCGUAGUCAUUUUUAUGAUUUUACAACUUAAUUGCCUUCAUCUGAAUGGAUGGAAUAACUUCCUUUGUAAUAAUAAACCAAAUGGUUUUUCUCUGUUUAAGAAAAGCCACAAAAGACCCCAAAUGAAGCCAGUCUGGGAAAUCAGUAUCAUAUUAACUUUUUGGCAUUUGCUUGCCAUACCUUAAUGGUUCUCAAGGACGCUGGCCUGUCAGCAAGUGUAGAAAAUGAUGUAUAUGGUGGUCCAUUUUUAAAAUAAAAUGCCCCAGAUAGGCUGGGGUCUGCAAACUACAGAAGAACAGGUACACUAUGCCCCUAACUCCAUAGCCAGUGCCUGCUGGUAGGGGCCCCUUAGCUGCCCUCACCCGAACCAAAGAGUUUAGUUUAGACUAGCUUGCAGAAUAGCUAACUUUAUUCUCAUCAGCUUGCCUGACUACCUGGGUCAUCAUUCAGAUACUUGAAGAGCCCCUGAGAUGACUGCAAUGCAUUGUGGGCUGUAACAAAACGCAGCAACACAACCUUAAAGAAAACACCUAAAACCGCAACCCAAUGACUAAUAGGUGAUGUCCGGGAAGAUCGUGACCCCAUAGUACUCAGCCUAUGAAGAACCGGGGGAGGGACCUGAGCACUAGGGGACAAAUUGCUUGUUGUAACUUUACUGAGUGUGCCUGUCUACCAGACACCUGAUCUUGCAAGACUGCUUUUUUUUUUUUUUUUUGACGGAGUCUCGCUCUGUCGCCCAGGCCGAAGUGCAGUGGCGCGAUCUCGGCUCACUGCAAGCUCCGCCUCCCGGGUUCAUGCCAU
rnacentral:lncRNA from 1 species